rnacentral:miRNA from 1 species
AUUGGUUUGGCCAAAAAGUUCAUUUGGGUUUUUCCAUACUAUCUUAAAAGAAAACUCAAAGGAACUUUUUGGCCAAACAAAU